rfam:Schistosoma mansoni strain Puerto Rico chromosome 1, complete genome
AUCCAACUGACGAGUCCAAAAUUGGACGAAACGCGCGUCCUGGAU